CCUACGGGAGUCAGCAGUGGGGAAUAUUGGGCAAUGGGCGCAAGCCUGACCCAGCAACGCCGCGUGAAGGAAGAAGGCUUUCGGGUUGUAAACUUCUUUUGUCAGGGAAGAGUAGAAGACGGUACCUGACGAAUAAGCCACGGCUAACUACGUGCCAGCAGCCGCGGUAAUACGUAGGUGGCAAGCGUUGUCCGGAUUUACUGGGUGUAAAGGGCGUGUAGCCGGGUUGACAAGUCAGAUGUGAAAUCCUGCGGCUUAACCGCAGAACUGCAGUUGAAACUGUUGAUCUUGAGUAAUGGAGAGGCAGAUGGAAUUCCUAGUGUAGCGGUGAAAUGCGUAGAUAGUAGGAGGAACACCAGGGGCGAAGGCGGUCUGCUGGACAGCAACUGACGGUGAGGCGCGAAAGCGUGGGGAGCAAACAGGAUUAGAUACCCCAGUAGUC
rnacentral:rRNA from 1 species